GCCCCUCUUCAGCUGCAUACGGUACUGUUUAUCACAGUUCAUAUCAUAACCGUGUUUAUUUACCUGACAACAAUGUUUGGAUGUUUUUAAUUGCAUUGCAAUGUAACCGCUAUGUUUCUUUCAGAAGGAUAAUACAAAACGUUUCAAUUAAUCAAUUUCCAAGGGUUGGAGCAUGCUAGUGGCAAAAUGAAUAAUUUGUUAGUUCUAGAGAAACAAUAUUGAUAAAUAUAGUCAACCAAGAUCAUCAGCGUAAAAGAAAAUAUUAUUGUUUGGCACUGGAUCCCAAUUAUGAAAAAGGAAUGACAACUUUUAGAACGCACAAAGUAUGGGAUAGGUCAAAUAUCAAAAGCUUUAAAAUUGGAAACUAAAUUGUUUUGGAUAGAAAGCUGGGAAUAGAAUUUUUUCUUCAAUUAAAACAGCCUCACAGAAAAUAA